GGCAGUUGAUGUUUCAAAGGUAGAUAAAGUGGUGUCAAAGAAAAAAAUAUAAGAAGCCUUAAAUGCUAGGUCGUUGAUGAAUGAUGAUGGGUUCUCUCUAUUCAUUAUGUUUCUCGUAAGGCCGAAGCGUACCCAAUAUACCCACCACCUCCCUCCUCUUGGUAUAUAUGUCUUUGUUUAAAUUCCAAUUUCUGUAGAUCAACGGCACCCUUUGUCAUAAUCUUCUGUUUUGAACAAUUGGAGGCCAAAAAAAUGGAGUUUUAUCCACACCCAUCUCGAUUUUCUAUGUCUUCAUUGCCUUUCUUUGGAGAUUUCGUUGGAAAGGUUAAAGAAGUUUGCGAUUUUGCUGUUUCUGCAAUCAUCGGGAACGUUUUCUCUGCG
rnacentral:misc_RNA from 1 species